rnacentral:lncRNA from 1 species
GCAAGGUGUAUCUACUUUCUCAUUCUUGGUUAAUUGUGAAGUAAGUGCAGUGUCAGGAUAGCGCAGGAUUGACCUGGAUGAUAGUAUUUUCAACACUUCGGAGAAAGCUGAAAGUUGUCGAUAGGGAUUGUUGUAUUUGCUGGCUUUCCCUUCACUUGUAUUAUGUUGUUUUUUCCACGCUUUUCCUAUGGACAAAGACUGUGGGACUCAUCUGCUCACUUAGGAAGUGAUAUGUGUUUCCAAUUUAGUGGGUUUAGCUGAUGUGUUUGUUGUAUGUAGUGUAAUCUCAGUGGUGGUAAGGCAUGGGCAGGCAA